AGCAGCUGGAAAUAAAAGCAUGGCUCUACAUCAGCAUGCUGGCACCUUGUUUAGCUAAUGAAGCAACAGUAAAACUCAAGGAUGUUCCAAAAGAUUAAGCAGGCAUCUUUAGGCAUGAGACCCGGGUCACCUCCAUCCUUCCCUGACUUGCCUUUUCCAGUGGAUAUUCUGGGUGCUCAGAGAGGAAUGGACACUGCUCUGGGCCCCUGCUGACAGAGGGAAGAAGGGGACAGGCUGG